CAGAGAAUAGUUUAAUUUAAAAUAUUAAUUUUGGAGAUUAGUGAUAAAAAUAUUUUUUUCUCUGA
rnacentral:tRNA from 1 species